rnacentral:rRNA from 1 species
AUUGAACGCUGGCGGCAUGCUUUACACAUGCAAGUCGAACGGCAGCGCGGGCUUCGGCCUGGCGGCGAGUGGCGAACGGGUGGGUAAUGCAGCGGAACGUGCCCAUUAGCGGGGUCUAGCGGGGCAAAGGCGGGAUACAUACGCCAAAACACCAGAGGGUGAACGGGGGGGACCGAAAGACCUUCGGCUCUUGCGCGGGCCAAUGUGGGAUUAUCGGGUUGGUGGGGUAAAGGCUUACAAGGGCGCCGAUCCGAAGCUGGUCUGAGAGGCCGACCAGCCACACUGGGACUGAGACACGGCCCAGACCCCUACGGGAGGCAGCAGUGGGGAAUUUUGGACAAUGGGGGCAACCCUGAUCCAGCCAUGCCGCGUGCGGGAAGAAGGCCUUCGGGUGGUAAACCGCUUUUGUUCGGGAAGAAAGCCUCUGGGCUAAUACCCCGGGGGGAUGACGGUACCGGAAGAAUAAGCACCGGCUAACUACGUG